AAAACAGACCCCGCCGCCGCCUCCCUCCCUCAAGCGCUGCGCGUCCUCCCUCGAUUCCCUCCCUUCGCUCUCUGCGCCGCCUCCUCCCUCGCAACCCUAAUCCCUUCGCUCCCGACUCCGACGCUGCGCCACCAACGCCGCCGCCUGAUCCAUGGUGACAUGGUGCUCGCCGGUCGACUUCUCUGGCGACGACGCACCAUUGCAUCAGGGGAUCCUACUCUCCGCCCCCCUCCUCCUCAUCCCUGCGCUGGGUACGGGGUGUACUAGGAGCUUGGGAUGCGGAUUCGUCCCUUCACGGCGGCCUCCCCUGCCGUCCUCGACACCUCCGGCGAUGGAUCUGCAGGACCACGCCAGUGUCUGGACGCGCUGGGGUCGUCGGAAUCGGAGUCCGCGAGGCCGGCGCGCCCACGCGGCAAGACGAGCUGCGCCUCCUAGAAGUUGGGUGCGUGUCUCUUGUCUACCGAUCUGAAUGUCCAUGAAGGAACUACUAGAAAGCAAACAUCCAACGGCAUGGUCAGAAUUCGAGAAGGGGCUAAUUGAUGAGCGCCACGGGAUUCCUAUGUUCCUGCAUUACAGAGUUCACAAUAUUGGCCUUCCCUUUGUACAUUUGUAGAGUUUUCUUUCUUGUUUGCUGAUUCCUUUCAGGCUUGAUGAUAACCUGUAGGAAUACAAGCCUGGUUACACUGCACCACCUCGUGUUGAACCAGAUGAGACAACCAUAGACAUCGAGUAAGUUAUUUCAUUGUAUUUCUUUUAGUAAUUGUUGCAAUCGUUUCAGCCAUUUUGUUCCAUUUUGACUUGAGCCUUUGCAGCUUUUCUUGCUGCGAGCUGCUGGUUUUCUGCUGCCGUGCUAUAUUAUGGCUUGGAUCUUAAGUAUUUUGCAUCGCUGGUGACAAAGACAUGUACCUUAAUUGAUUCAAUCUUGUCGGCAUCAUCUGUUGGUCAUGAAAAAUAAUUACUCCAAAUCAUCAUAAUGAUUCAGAUGCAUCCUUUUUAUAACCAUUGAAAAGAAAAUCACUACAGUAUUGAUGCCGUAAAAAAUCACUCUAUAGCUCCAGGUAAUCUACUUGUUGCUGAUGUGUGACACCACCAUCUAACUUCUAGGACUUCGUCUGUCUGCAGGAAGAGGCUGCACUGGCAGCAGCAGAGGUAGCCUUCAUCCUACAGUCGGCCCAGGGAUGGGCCUCCAGUUUGCUAUUGCUCCAGAGUCCCCUGCCACUCCGCAGCAGGAGCAGGAGCAGGAGCCAUCACCGCACCAGCAGCAGCAAUUGGGCUGAUUGAAGAAGGUUAGGCCGGCUCGGCUUCUGCUUCCUAUUUGCCUAGUAGGAUGCCACAUACACACUUCGAUGCAGCAGAAACAAUAUGUACCUUGUGUUCCAGUGAGUGUAAUCGAAGCAUCGAAUUCAAUGUAAAUUCAUUAUUUUGUUGUACUUUGAUGCAAAGUGUAUAGAGAUGAUCUGUGAAUUCUUAUUUUGAUUGGUCUUAUAUAAAAAUCAAAGUGCAUGUUAGUUUUGUA